rnacentral:rRNA from 1 species
ACAACUUUUAACAAUAGAUCUCUUGGUUCUAGCAUUAAUAAAGAACGCAGCGAAAUGCGAUAAGUAGUGUGAAUUGCAGAAUUUAGUAAAUUAUUAAAUCUUUAAACGCAUAUUACGCCCCUUAGUAUUCUAUAGGGCAUGCCUGUUUAAGCGUUAUUUGUACCCUUAAGCUCUGCUUAGUGUUAGGUGUUUGUUCUACUUAGGACUCGCCUUAAAACAAUUAGUAGCUAGCAUAUUAGCCUAGAGCGCAGCACAUUUUACGCCUCUUGUUAUAGUUAUUAGCAUCUAUUAAGACACUUUUUAAGCUCUUAACCUUAGAUUAGGUAGGGAUACCUACUAAACUUAAGCAUAUUAAUAAGCAGAGGAAAAGAAACUAAUAGAGAUUGCCCUAGUAACGGCGAGUGAAGCGGCAACAGCUUAAAUUUAAAAUCUAGCUCUUUUAGGGUCCAAGUUAUAAUUUGCAGAGGGCGCUUUAGUAUUAGCAGUAGUCUAAGUUCCUUAGAAUAGGACGUUAUAGAGGGUAAGAAUCCUAUACGUAGUUACUAGCCUUCGCCGUGUAAAGCCCCUUUAAUAAGUUAAGUUAUUUAGGAAUAUAGCUCUAAAUAGGAGGUAAAUUUCUUCUAAAGCUAAAUACUAGCUAGAGACUAAUAGCGCACAAGUAGAGUAAUUAAAAGAUAAAAAGCACUUUAGAAAGAGAGUUAAAUAGCACGUGAAAUUGUUAAAAGGGAAGCGCUUGCAGCUAGACUUACCUGUAGUUACUUAUCUAGGCUUUUGUCUAGUGCACUCUUCUAUAGGCAGGCUAGCAUUAGUUUAGGUAGUUAGAUAAAGGUCUCUAUCACGUACCUCCCUUUAGGGAGGCCUUAUAGGGGAGACGACAUGCAACUAGCCUAGACUAAGGUCUGCGCAUCUGCUAGGAUGCUAGCGUAAUAGCUAUAAGCGGCCUAUCUUAAAACAUAGACUAAGGAGUCUAACAUCUAUACAAGUGUUUAGGUGUUAAGCCUAGACGCGUAAUAAAAGUGAACAGAGGUAGGAACCCUUUUAGGGUGCACUAUUAACUAAUCCUAAUAUCUUUAGAAGGAUUUAAGUAAGAGCAUAGCUAUUAGGACCUAAAAGAUAGUGAACUAUGCUUAAAUAGGGUAAAGCUAGAGGAAACUCUAGUAGAGGCUCGCAGCGGUUCUAACGUGCAAAUUAAUCGUUAAAUUUGGGUAUAGGGGCAAAAGACUAAUUAAACUAUCUAGUAGCUAGUUCCUACUAAAGUUUCCCUUAGGAUAGUAGUAACGUAUUUAGUUUUAUAAGGUAAAGCGAAUAAUUAGAGGCCUAGGGGUUAAAACAACCUUUACCUAUUCUUAAACUUUAAAUAUAUAAGAAGUCCUUAUUACUUAAUUAAACGUAGACACUUAAAUGUACUAUUACUAGUAGGCUAUUUUUAGUAAGCAGAACUAGCAAUGCGGGAUGAACUAAACGCGGGGUUAAGGUGCUAGAAUGCACGCUUAUUAGACACCACAAAAGGUGUUAGUUUAUCUAGAUAGCAGGAUAGUAGCUAUAGAAGUUAGAAUCUACUAAGGAGUGUGUAAUAACUUACCUGCUAAAUAAACUAGCCCUAAAAAUAGAUAGCGCUUAAGCGUGUUACCUAUACCCUGCCGCUAGGGCAAGAUUUAAGCCCUAGUAAGUAGGCAGGCGUAGAGGCUCGUGACGAAGCCUUAGGGGUAACCCUAGGUAGAACGGCCUCUAGUGCAGAUCUUAGUGGUAGUAGCAAAUACUUAAAUAAGAACUUUAAGGACUAAAGUAGGGAAAGGUUCCGUGUGAAUAGCAGUUAGACACAGGUUAGUUAAUCCUAAGAGAUAGGGUAAUUCUGUUUUAAUAUUAGUGCUUACGCCACGCCCUUAAAAGGGAAGCUAGUUAAUAUUCUAGCACCUAGAUGUAGAUUCUCCGCGGCAACGCAACUAAGAGCGGAGACCUUAGCAGGAGCCCUAAGAAGAGUUCUCUUUUCUUCUUAACAGUCUGUUACCCUAAAAUUAGUUUGUCUAGAGCUAGGGUUUAAUAGCUAGAAGAGCGCUACACUUUUAUAGCGUUUAGUGCGCUCCUAACAAGCCUUAAAAAUCUACUUAAAGAAAUAGUUUUUACGCUAGGUUAUACUUAUAACCGUAGCAGGUCUCUAAGGUAAAAAGCCUCUAGUUAAUAGAAUAAUAUAGAUAAGGGAAGUUAGCAAAAUAGAUCUAUAACUUUAGGAAAAGGAUUAGCUCUAAGGGUUAGGUACGUUAGGCCUUAGGGAGAAGCCUCUAGCGCAGAAGGGCACUAACCGCAAGGUAGGCGCCUCUUAGCGCUAGGGUGCAGACACCCUUAGCAGGUUUUAGCUAUCUAGCGUACGUUUAACAACUAACUUAGAACUAGUAUAGAUAAGGGGAAUCUAACUAUCUAAUUAAAACAUAGCAUUGCAAUAGCUAGAAAGUAGUAUUAACGCAAUAUAAUUUCUGCCUAGUGCUCUAAAUAUUAAAGCAAAGAGAUUUAACCAAGCGCGGGUAAAUAGCAGGAGUAACUAUAACUCUCUUAAGGUAGCUAAAUACCUUGUUAUCUAAUUAGUGACGCGCAUAAAUAGAUUAACAAGAUUCCUACUGUCCCUAUUUACUAUCUAGCGAAACCACAGCUAAGGGAACAGGCUUAGCUAAAUUAGCAGGGAAAGAAGACCCUAUUAAGCUUAACUCUAGUUUAACAUUAUAAAAAGACAUAGGGGGUGUAGAAUAGGUAGGAGCUUUAGCGCUAGUAAAAUACUACUACCCUUAUUGUUUUUUUACUUAUUUAAUAAAGCAGAGCUAGGCCUUACUACCUAACUUCUAGCGUUUAAGGUCCUUUAUAGGCUAAUCUAGGUUAAAGAUAUUAUUAGGUAGGGAGUUUAGCUAGGGCGGCACAUCUAUUAAACUAUAACGCAGGUGUCCUAAGGGGGACUUAUAGAGAAUAGAAAUCUCUAGUAGAGUAAAAGGGCAAAAGUCCCCUUAAUUUUAAUUUUUAGUGUGAAUACAAACUAUAAAAGUGUGGCCUAUUAAUCCUUUAGUCCCUUAAAAUUUAAGGCUAGAGGUGCUAGAAAAGUUACUACAGGGAUAACUAGCUUGUGGCAGCCAAGCAUUUAUAGCGACGUUGCUUUUUAAUCCUUUAAUGUUAGCUCUUCCUAUUAUACUAAAGUAGAAUUUAGUAAGCGUUAGAUUGUUCACCUACUAAUAGGGAACGUAAGCUAGGUUUAGACCGUUGUAAGAUAGGUUAGUUUUACCCUACUAAUAACCUUGCCCUAAUAGUAAUACCGCUUAGUACGAGAGGAACCGCGGUUUUAGAUAAUUAGUUUUUGCGGCUAUCUAACUAGGCAUUGCCGCGAAGCUACUAUCUACUAGAUUAUAGCUAAACGCCUCUAAGUCAGAAUCUAUGCUAGAAUAGGGUGAUUUCUGCCUGCACUAGUUAGAUAUAAAUAGGCCUUUAGCCCAGAACCUUACUAGAUUAGCGUUAGCAGCCCUAUUAAAGUUAGGGUUAUUAGCUAGUGUAUUGUAAUUGUACAGUGCGCAGGAU